ensembl:snRNA LOC120099421 U6 spliceosomal RNA
UCGCUUUGGCAGCGCAUGUGCCAAAAUUAGAACAUAGAGAUUAGUACGACCCCUGCUCAAGAAUGACAAGCAAAUUUGUGAGGCAUUUGGUAUUUUU